UACGGAGGGUGCAAGCGUUAUCCGGAUUCACUGGGUUUAAAGGGUGCGUAGGUGGGUUAGUAAGUCAGUGGUGAAAUCUCCAGGCUUAACUUGGAAACUGCCAUUGAUACUAUCAAUCUUGAAUACCGUGGAGGUCAGCGGAAUAUGUCAUGUAGCGGUGAAAUGCUUAGAUAUGACAUAGAACACCAAUUGCGAAGGCAGCUGGCUACACGAAUAUUGACACUGAUGCACGAAAGCGUGGGGAUCAAACAGG
rnacentral:rRNA from 1 species